rnacentral:rRNA from 1 species
UAGUUGCGCAUCAGUGCGUCGCAGUAGCAUAGUGCCCGCUGGAGUACGCGCAGCUAACUCAAGAUUCGGGCCAACGCGAGCAUGGCUUAUUCGAGCGCAAGCGAAGACCUACAGGCUGACAUACCCGAAACCUGAGACAGGUCCCCUUGUGGUCGGUGUACAGGUGGUGCAUGGCUGUCGUCAGCUCGUGUCGUGAGAUGUUGGGUUAAGUCCCGCAACGAGCGCAACCCUUGUCCCGUGUUGCCAGCAGGCCCUUGUGGUGCUGGGGACUCACGGGAGACCGCCGGGGUCAACUCGGAGGAAGGUGGGGACGACGUCAAGUCAUCAUGCCCCUUAUGUCUUGGGCUGCACACGUGCUACAAUGGCCGGUACAAUGAGCUGCGAUACCGCGAGGUGGAGCGAAUCUCAAAAAGCCGGUCUCAGUUCGGAUUGGGGUCUGCAACUCGACCCCAUGAAGUCGGAGUCGCUAGUAAUCGCAGAUCAGCAUUGCUGCGGUGAAUACGUUCCCGGGCCUUGUACACACCGCCCGUCACGUCACGAAAGUCGGUAACACCCGAAGCCGGUGGCCCAACCCCUUGUGGGAGGGAGCUGUCGAAGGUGGGACUGGCGAUUGGGACGAAGUCGUAGCAAGGUAGCCGUACGGAUUCAAGU